GACGAACGCUGGCGGCGUGCUUAACACGUGCAAGUCGAACGGAAAGGCUCCAGCUUGCUGGAGUACUCGAGUGGCGAACGGGUGAGUAACACGUGGGUAAUCUGCCCUGCACUCUGGGAUAAGCCUGGGAAACUGGGUCUAAUACUGGAUAUGACCUUUCUCCUUAUGGGGUUUGGUGGAAAGUUUUUCGGUGUAGGAUGAGCCCGCGGCCUAUCAGCUUGUUGGUGGGGUGAUGGCCUACCAAGGCGACGACGGGUAGCCGGCCUGAGAGGGUGAUCGGCCACAUUGGGACUGAGAUACGGCCCAGACUCCCACGGGAGGCAGCAGUGGGGAAUAUUGCACAAUGGGCGGAAGCCUGAUGCAGCGACGCCGCGUGAGGGAUGACGGCCUUCGGGUUGUAAACCUCUUUCAGCAGGGACGAAGCGUAAGUGACGGUACCUGCAGAAGAAGCACCGGCUAACUAUGUG
rnacentral:rRNA from 1 species